UACGAAGGGGGCUAGCGUUGCUCGGAAUCACUGGGCGUAAAGCGCACGUAGGCGGAUUGCUAAGUCAGGGGUGAAAUCCUGGAGCUCAACUCCAGAACUGCCUUUGAUACUGGCGACCUUGAGUCCGGGAGAGGUGAGUGGAACUGCGAGUGUAGAGGUGAAAUUCGUAGAUAUUCGCAAGAACACCGGUGGCGAAGGCGGCUCACUGGCCCGGUACUGACGCUGAGGUGCGAAAGCGUGGGGAGCAAACAGG
rnacentral:rRNA from 1 species